ACUAGGAAUCGGACCGACCUCAAUCUUAUGCUCCUUCGGCACCUUACGAGGAAAUCAAGUCUUUGGGUUCUGGUGGGAGUAUGGUCGCAAGGCUGAAACUUUAAGGAAUUGACGGAAGGGCACCACCAGGAGUGGAGCCUGCGGCUUAAUUUGACUCUACACGGGGAAACUCACCAGGUCCAGACAUAACUAGGAUUGACAGAUUGAUAGCUCUUUCUUGAUUUUAUGG
rnacentral:rRNA from 1 species